rnacentral:rRNA from 1 species
GACGAACGCUGGCGGCGUGCUUAACACAUGCAAGUCGAACGGAAAGGCCCUGCUUUUGUGGGGUGCUCGAGUGGCGAACGGGUGAGUAACACGUGAGUAACCUGCCCUUGACUUUGGUAUAACUUCAGGAAACUGGGGCUAAUACCGGAUAGGAGCUCCUGCUGCAUUGUGGGGGUUGGAAAUUUUCGGCGGUUGGGGAUGGACUCGCGGCUUAUCAGCUUGUUGGUUGGGUAGUGGCUUACCCAGGCUUUGACGGGUAGCCGGCCUGAGAGGGUGACCGGCCACAUUGGGACUGAGAGACGGCCCAGACGCCUACGGGAGGCAGCAGUGGGGAAUAUUGCACAAUGGGCGGAAGCCUGAUGCAGAAACGCCGCGUGCGGGAUGACGGCCUUCGGGUUGUAAACAGCUUUCGCCUGUGACGAAGCGUGAGUGACGGUAAUGGGUAAAGAAGCACCGGCUAACUACGUG